rnacentral:lncRNA from 1 species
UAGGUAACGAGGGUCAAUCUUGAGCUUAGACGUUUUGAGUAUUUUCUAGCAAAACUCGGCAUUUUUGAAAAACACAGGAAAAACUCUCGUUUCCAUUUCUCUCCACCAUCGCAUAUCCUUCUCUCACGUAUCCUUUAUCUCACGUCCAUUCACACCACCUGUCGUGGGCGAAAUUGGGUCGGGUCCGUUGCUGGGCAAGGUGCAACGGAGGCCAACGAUGUCGACCCAUGUGGUCCGCCACCAUGGGUUGACGUGACGGCGUCGAAAUUUGAAGAAAUCAAACCGGGUUAAUUGGGGAUCGCGAAUGGCGAUUUCUUUGGAAUCGGGAUGCUGCUGAAUCUGAUACAGUGUGGAAGCGUUUCUUCCGCUGGAUUAUUAAGAUAUUAUUGCCAAUUGCAUAAUUGGCUAAAGCUUUGGCUAUGGCUUCUAUACUCCACACUGUCUACUCAAUACGCUCAUCUUCCAACUCGCUUCGAACUCCAAAGCUUGCUGGUCCACCCAUUUCUCUUUCCUUCAGCAGUAAUCCAAUUCUUCUAAUCUCUAAAAGAUGUUUACUUUAAUUCUAAUUAUGGCCACUUCUUAUUUAUUUGCAUUGAAUUGAUUUAGGACGGAGGCUUGUGGUGAAAGCUACAGAAACUGAUCAAGAUGAAGGUUAGAUUAAUUUUAUUUUGUUUCCUGUACUUUUUAAUGGGUUUUGAACGUUGCUUACUUGGUUUGAAUCACGAGUUAAUUUAUUUGGAUGAAAGAGAGGAACCAUCGCCUUAAUUGAAAUGGUUAAUUCGGAUUUAUAAAAUGCUGGUUCAACUGUCCUUACAAAUUGUUCCUUCAGACGUGCUUUCACAGAAACUUGUUCCCCUUUUAUCAGUCGAGCUUUGACUUGCUCAUUGACUAAUUCUUUCCCUGUCUUUUGCACAUGCUGAGUGUCUGUUGGAAUGGAUUGGAUUUGCUGGAUGAAUGGUCUUGCUGCAAGCUGCUUUUUGUUUGGUUUAGCCUUGACUGAUUGGCCUUCUUUUGUCAUUCGCAGUUCUAGCUUCCUACUGUUUGAUCCUAUGCUGAGCCGAGGCCUUUAACAUGAUUUAUCAUUGUUGCCCUGUGUCAUUCGCCUUGCCAUGUCAUUGAUGGGAUUCACUUGUGCUUGCCUUGCUUUAAGAAUUAUUCAUAAUUAGUGCACAUGUCUCUAAAAUAUGCUUUUAUUCUUUCAUAUGUAUGUUGAUUCAACUUAUAGAGGUAUGUGGUUCAAAUAACUCUUUUUUUUCUUUCUCACUUUCACAAUGAAAGUUUUCGAGUUUUCUAUGUGGUGUUACCAUUUCUAGCCCGUUGAUCUGGCAAUAUGUUGGCUGCUAGAGACUUUAAGGGUUAAGGUUUUUUCGGACUAACAUUUAUCCCGUAUUAAAGGAGAAAUGUGGAAUUGAAAUAAUAGUAACGUGAUUAAUAAAGUUUUCUUUUAUGAGCUUUUGUCUCGUGAAAGCGAACGUCAAAAAGCUUUGUCAAGAUUAGGAAUAAAAUCAAAUUUCAAGAGUCGGCUAUGCUUGCUGGUAUUAGGUUUACUAGCAAGUGUAGAAGGAAAAGGUCCUGAAAAAGUUAUCUAGAAUAGAAAGAAAAAAAAUUUAACUAGGAAUAAGAUUAGAAAGAUUUUCUUGAUUUAGCGUGGCCAUAUUAAUGAACACCACCUGUAAUCUAUUACUGAAUGUUCUUAUGGUUCAAAUAACACUCUUUUUUCUUUUACUAUACAGGUAUGUCGAAACACUAGUUGCUUUCUGUUAUCUUCACAUGUGAUAUGAGUGCCUUCUGAUUAUGAAAUUAUUAUUGGGAUUUUGAUAGCUUCUUUUAUUAUUCUCGUUCUGGCAUGAUAGCAUAUUCAUUUUCGUCCUCUAUAUUCUCCAUUCCUUGUUGCAUUGUAAACCAUAUGUAUCAAUCUUUAACAAAGUGUCAUAAAAAUUUUCAUAACCAAUUGGUAAAUGAUAAAUACAUCUCCGGGAACACAUGGCUUUUGUUAAAUUUUGUGGUUUGUUGAAAUCCAUCAUGCUUUUAUGCCCAAAAGACAUAAUUGGUGAUGUUUAUGUCUAUUUCCAAAGGAUCUAUCUCCGGGAACAUGUGGCUUUUGUUAAAUUUUGUGGUUUGUUGAAAUCCAUCACCAAAAGACAUAACUAGUGAUGUUUAUGUCUAUUUCCAAAGGAUUGAAGACAGGAAAUCUAGAUUCUUCUACUUUACGCAGAUAUUCAGGUGAUUUCCAUUAUGCAUGUCUGUCCCAGUGCUCAUCGUUGAUGGUGUUGAAAGGGUACUAUCAUUAUCAGAUCAGAUAAAACAAGAUCUCUUGAUACUACAUUAUCUAAUGACAAAGGGUACCUCGCUGAAUUAAUUGGGGAGAUUUGUUGUGCUUCUUCUGAUGGGUACUCUUUCGAAGGAAGCUGGGUAAAUGGCAUGAUGCAUGGAUUUGGAAUGUACACAUGGAGCAACUGUGACUGCUAAUCAGAUAUUGCAUCUCUUUGUUUAUGUGGAUAUUUUUAUUACAUACUUGUUAUUUUCAUUAGAAUGUCAUCUUAAUUGUCUAGUGAGGAUUUUUUUUUUUUUUUUUUUUUUUUUAUGAAAACUAUGAAGAUGUUCUGUACCAAACAAUUGUCUUAAUACAUUUGUGAGUUGUUUUAUUUAUAUUGACUGCCAAAUGUUAUUUUUUUUUGGAUA